GUGUCAGCCGCCGCGGUAAGACGAACCACCCAAACGUUAUUCGGAAUUACUGGGCUUAAAGGGUGCGUAGGCUGUGCGGAAAGUUGGGUGUGAAAUACCUCAGCUUAACUGAGGAACUGCGCUCAAAACUACCGUGCUGGAGGGAGACAGAGGUAAGCGGAACUUAGGGUGGAGCGGUGAAAUGCGUUGAUAUCCUAAGGAACACCGGUGGCGAAAGCGGCUUACUGGGUCUUUUCUGACGCUGAGGCACGAAAGCUAGGGUAGCGAACGGGAUUAGAUACCCUGGUAGUCC
rnacentral:rRNA from 1 species